rnacentral:rRNA from 1 species
CCGCGGUAAUACGGGAGUGGCAAGCGUUAUCCGGAAUUAUUGGGCGUAAAGCGUCCGCAGGCGGCCUGACAAGUCUGCUGUUAAAGCGUGGAGCUUAAUUCCAUUUCAGCAGUGGAAACUGUCAGGCUUGAGUGUGGUAGGGGCAGAGGGAAUUCCCGGUGUAGCGGUGAAAUGCGUAGAUAUCGGGAAGAACACCAGUGGCGAAAGCGCUCUGCUGGGCCAUCACUGACGCUCAUGGACGAAAGCCAGGGGAGCGAAAGGG